UACGUAGGGUGCAAGCGUUGUCCGGAAUUAUUGGGCGUAAAGAGCUUGUAGGCGGUUUGUCGCGUCUGCUGUGAAAUUUCGGGGCUCAACCCCGAACUUGCAGUGGGUACGGGCAGACUAGAGUGCUGUAGGGGAGAUCGGAAUUCCUGGUGUAGCGGUGAAAUGCGCAGAUAUCAGGAGGAACACCGGUGGCGAAGGCGGAUCUCUGGGCCUUACCUGACGCUCAGGUGCGAAAGCUAGGGGAGCGAACAGG
rnacentral:rRNA from 1 species